UUAAGCGACUAAGCGUACACGGUGGAUGCCCUGGCAGUCAGAGGCGAUGAAGGACGUGCUAAUCUGCGAAAAGCGUCGGUAAGGUGAUAUGAACCGUUAUAACCGGCGAUGUCCGAAUGGGGAAACCCAGUGUGAUUCGUCACACUAUCGUUAACUGAAUACAUAGGUUAACGAGGCGAACCGGGGGAACUGAAACAUCUAAGUACCCCGAGGAAAAGAAAUCAACCGAGAUUCCCCCAGUAGCGGCGAGCGAACGGGGAGCAGCCCAGAGUCUGAAUCAGCUUGUGUGUUAGUGGAACGGUCUGGAAAGUCCGACGGUACAGGGUGAUAGUCCCGUACACCAAAAUGCACAGGCUGUGAACUCGAAGAGUAGGGCGGGACACGUGGUAUCCUGUCUGAAUAUGGGGGGACCAUCCUCCAAGGCUAAAUACUCCUGACUGACCGAUAGUGAACCAGUACCGUGAGGGAAAGGCGAAAAGAACCCCGGCGAGGGGAGUGAAAAAGAACCUGAAACCGUGUACGUACAAGCAGUGGGAGCACCUUCGGGUGUGACUGCGUACCUUUUGUAUAAUGGGUCAGCGACUUAUAUUCUGUAGCAAGGUUAACCGUAUAGGGGAGCCGCAGGGAAACCGAGUCUUAACUGGGCGUUAAGUUGCAGGGUAUAGACCCGAAACCCGGUGAUCUAGCCAUGGGCAGGUUGAAGGUUGGGUAACACUAACUGGAGGACCGAACCGACUAAUGUUGAAAAAUUAGCGGAUGACUUGUGGCUGGGGGUGAAAGGCCAAUCAAACCGGGAGAUAGCUGGUUCUCCCCGAAAGCUAUUUAGGUAGCGCCUCGUGAACUCAUCUUCGGGGGUAGAGCACUGUUUCGGCUAGGGGGUCAUCCCGACUUACCAACCCGAUGCAAACUACGAAUACCGAAGAAUGUUAUCACGGGAGACACACGGCGGGUGCUAACGUCCGUCGUGAAGAGGGAAACAACCCAGACCGCCAGCUAAGGUCCCAAAGUCAUGGUUAAGUGGGAAACGAUGUGGGAAGGCACAGACAGCCAGGAUGUUGGCUUAGAAGCAGCCAUCAUUUAAAGAAAGCGUAAUAGCUCACUGGUCGAGUCGGCCUGCGCGGAAGAUGUAACGGGGCUAAACCAUGCACCGAAGCUGCGGCAGCGACACUAUGUGUUGUUGGGUAGGGGAGCGUUCUGUAAGCCUGCGAAGGUGUGCUGUGAGGCAUGCUGGAGGUAUCAGAAGUGCGAAUGCUGACAUAAGUAACGAUAAAGCGGGUGAAAAGCCCGCUCGCCGGAAGACCAAGGGUUCCUGUCCAACGUUAAUCGGGGCAGGGUGAGUCGACCCCUAAGGCGAGGCCGAAAGGCGUAGUCGAUGGGAAACAGGUUAAUAUUCCUGUACUUGGUGUUACUGCGAAGGGGGGACGGAGAAGGCUAUGUUAGCCGGGCGACGGUUGUCCCGGUUUAAGCAUGUAGGCUGGUUGUCCAGGCAAAUCCGGAUAAUCAAGGCUGAGGUGUGAUGACGAGGCACUACGGUGCUGAAGUAACAAAUGCCCUGCUUCCAGGAAAAGCCUCUAAGCAUCAGGUAACAUUAAAUCGUACCCCAAACCGACACAGGUGGUCAGGUAGAGAAUACCAAGGCGCUUGAGAGAACUCGGGUGAAGGAACUAGGCAAAAUGGUGCCGUAACUUCGGGAGAAGGCACGCUGGUGUGUAGGUGAAGCCCCUGCGGGUGGAGCUGAGACCAGUCGAAGAUACCAGCUGGCUGCAACUGUUUAUUAAAAACACAGCACUGUGCAAACACGAAAGUGGACGUAUACGGUGUGACGCCUGCCCGGUGCCGGAAGGUUAAUUGAUGGGGUUAUCCGUAAGGAGAAGCUCUUGAUCGAAGCCCCGGUAAACGGCGGCCGUAACUAUAACGGUCCUAAGGUAGCGAAAUUCCUUGUCGGGUAAGUUCCGACCUGCACGAAUGGCGUAAUGAUGGCCAGGCUGUCUCCACCCGAGACUCAGUGAAAUUGAACUCGCUGUGAAGAUGCAGUGUACCCGCGGCAAGACGGAAAGACCCCGUGAACCUUUACUAUAGCUUGACACUGAACAUUGAGCCUUGAUGUGUAGGAUAGGUGGGAGGCUUUGAAGCGUGGACGCCAGUCUGCGUGGAGCCAACCUUGAAAUACCACCCUUUAAUGUUUGAUGUUCUAACGUUGGCCCCUGACCGGGGUUGCGGACAGUGUCUGGUGGGUAGUUUGACUGGGGCGGUCUCCUCCCAAAGCGUAACGGAGGAGCACGAAGGUUAGCUAAUCCUGGUCGGACAUCAGGAGGUUAGUGCAAUGGCAUAAGCUAGCUUGACUGCGAGCGUGACGGCGCGAGCAGGUGCGAAAGCAGGUCAUAGUGAUCCGGUGGUUCUGAAUGGAAGGGCCAUCGCUCAACGGAUAAAAGGUACUCCGGGGAUAACAGGCUGAUACCGCCCAAGAGUUCAUAUCGACGGCGGUGUUUGGCACCUCGAUGUCGGCUCAUCACAUCCUGGGGCUGAAGUAGGUCCCAAGGGUAUGGCUGUUCGCCAUUUAAAGUGGUACGCGAGCUGGGUUUAGAACGUCGUGAGACAGUUCGGUCCCUAUCUGCCGUGGGCGCUGGAGAAUUGAGGGGGGCUGCUCCUAGUACGAGAGGACCGGAGUGGACGCAUCACUGGUGUUCGGGUUGUCAUGCCAAUGGCACUGCCCGGUAGCUAAAUGCGGAAGAGAUAAGUGCUGAAAGCAUCUAAGCACGAAACUUGCCCCGAGAUGAGUUCUCCCUGAGACUUUAAGUCUCCUGAAGGAACGUUGAAGACGACGACGUUGAUAGGCCGGGUGUGUAAGCGCAGCGAUGCGUUGAGCUAACCGGUACUAAUGAACCGUGAGGCUUAACCUU
rnacentral:rRNA from 1 species